rnacentral:rRNA from 1 species
AUUGAACGCUGGCGGCAUGCUUUACACAUGCAAGUCGAACGGUAACAGGCCGCAAGGUGCUGACGAGUGGCGAACGGGUGAGUAAUGCAUCGGAACGUGCCCAGUCGUGGGGGAUAACGCAGCGAAAGCUGCGCUAAUACCGCAUACGAUCUAUGGAUGAAAGCGGGGGACCGUAAGGCCUCGCGCGAUUGGAGCGGCCGAUGUCAGAUUAGGUAGUUGGUGGGGUAAAGGCUCACCAAGCCAACGAUCUGUAGCUGGUCUGAGAGGACGACCAGCCACACUGGGACUGAGACACGGCCCAGACUCCUACGGGAGGCAGCAGUGGGGAAUUUUGGACAAUGGGCGAAAGCCUGAUCCAGCAAUGCCGCGUGCAGGAUGAAGGCCUUCGGGUUGUAAACUGCUUUUGUACGGAACGAAAAAGCUCCUUCUAAUACAGGGGGCCCAUGACGGUACCGUAAGAAUAAGCACCGGCUAACUACGUGCCAGCCGCCGCCGUAAAAC